CUCCUCAGCUUGUUUCACCGUCCAGCAACCUGCAACAGAAGAUGCCGAUGAGCGCUGCGAGGAUGAAGAAAUCGAACAGCGUCAGAUAUUCGAAAAUCGCAGACAUGGCCUGCUCCUCCCAUUUCCUCCGCUGCAAAUCAUACCAUGAAGGG
rnacentral:sRNA from 1 species